GGAGUUAGCCGGUGCUUCUUCUGUGAGUGAUGUCCUUCCUGCCGGCUAUUAACCCGCAGGCCUUCUUCCUCACUGAAAGUGCUUUACAACCCGAAGGCCUUCUUCACACACGCGGCAUGGCUGGAUCAGGGUUGCCCCCAUUGUCCAAUAUUCCCCACUGCUGCCUCCCGUAGGAGUCUGGGCCGUGUCUCAGUCCCAGUGUGGCUGAUCAUCCUCUCAGACCAGCUACGGAUCGUCGCCUUGGUGAGCCGUUACCUCACCAACCAGCUAAUCCGACAUAGGCUCAUCCGAUAGCGCGAGGCCCGAAGGUCCCCCGCUUUCCCCCGUAGGGCGUAUGCGGUAUUAGCCUGGGUUUCCCCAGGUUAUCCCCCACUACCGGGCAGAUUCCUAUGCAUUACUCACCCGUCCGCCGCUCGCCACCAGGGAGCAAGCUCCCCGUGCUGCCGCUCGACUUGCAUGUGUUAGGCCUGCCGCCAGCGUUCAAUCUGACACGAUCAAUCUANACUGAUCGGAGCGGGCGUAGGCGACGACGUACGANAG
rnacentral:rRNA from 1 species